AGAGUUCGAUCCUGGCUCAGAACGAACGCUGGCGGCGCGUCUUAAGCAUGCAAGUCGAGCGGGAACAGAUAGCUUGCUAUCUGCGAGAGCGGCGGACUGGUGAGUAACACGUGGGUGACGCACCCUUCGGACGGGGAUAGCCUGUAGAAAUACAGGAUAAUACCGGAUACGAAUCCACAGGUUAGAGAUGUGGAUGGAAAGCCCCUACGGGGGCGCCGGAGGAGCGGCCCGCGGCCCAUCAGCUGGUAGGUGAGGUAAAGGCCCACCUAGGCAAUGACGGGUAUCCGGCCUCAGAGGGUGGACGGACACAUUGGGACUGAGAUACGGCCCAGACUCCUACGGGAGGCAGCAGCUAAGAAUAUUCCGCAAUGGGGGAAACCCUGACGGAGCGACGCCGCGUGGACGAUGAAGGCCGGAAGGUUGUAAAGUCCUUUUGCGGGUGAGGAAUAAGGACCGGAGGGAAUGCCGGUACGAUGACUGUAACCUGCGAAUAAGCAACGGCUAAUUACGUGCCAGCAGCCGCGGUAACACGUAAGUUGCGAGCGUUGUUCGGAAUCAUUGGGCGUAAAGGGCAUGUAGGCGGUUACGCAAGCCUGGUGUGAAAGCCCGAGGCUCAACCUCGGGAUGCGCCGGGAACUGUGCAACUAGAGUAGCUGAGGGGCAGCCGGAAUUCCAGGUGUAGGGGUGAAAUCUGUAGAUAUCUGGAAGAACACCGAUGGCGAAGGCAGGCUGCCAGCAGAUUACUGACGCUGAGGUGCGAAGGUGCGGGGAGCGAACAGGAUUAGAUACCCUGGUAGUCCGCACAGUAAACGAUGCACACUGGGUGUCCGCCCAUGAGGGUGGGUGCCGAAGCAAACGCGAUAAGUGUGCCGCCUGGGGAGUAUGCCCGCAAGGGUGAAACUCAAAGGAAUUGACGGGGGCCCGCACAAGCGGUGGAGCAUGUGGUUUAAUUCGAUGGUACGCGAGGAACCUUACCUGGGUUUGACAUGCACGGUGAUACCGGGGAGAUCCGGGGGUCCAGCAAUGGAACCGUGCACAGGUGCUGCAUGGCUGUCGUCAGCUCGUGCCGUGAGGUGUUGGGUUAAGUCCC
rnacentral:rRNA from 1 species